GGGUUCUACGGAAUAGUGUCAUUAUAAAGUUUUAAAAAUACCACAGAAUUUACCAGUUUUAAAUGAAUUGUCUACACUCGUGCGACGUAAAAGAGCCAAGACAAUAUUACGUCUAACCUGUAAGACAAUAAAAAGAUCAGGUACCCAAUCUCAAUCAACGUCAAACCCAUGCGACGCAAAAGAAUCGGGGCUGGUAAAAAAAUAUCCAUCGCUGCAUCACGUAAAAUUGCUUAGAGGGGUCCAUGAUAGCACAAUCUUAAACCGCGUUCCAAACCUGUUUUCAAAAUUUCUCAUCUAUCUUCAAAGUUUCUUCAAUGUGUUUCAUGAAUUUUCAAAAGCCUUAAUUUCUUUGAUUAAAAAGUAGCCUGGAACUCUGUUUCUGAUUUUAAAGUUCUAUCUUCAAAAUUGCUAAAAUGUUUUAAAUAACUAAGGAAUUUCAUGGAGGCUUGGAGAUGAUGUUUCUGCUACCACAAAAUCCUAGAUUGUCAUGCUUGCAAACCCUUAGGAAAAACAACAACCAACCCAUAGGUUCCCAAACCAAAAAGCCUGAACCUAUAGACUGCAAGAAUCAGAAUCGAAGGUGAACCAAGAAGUUUAAUUAGCUAAGAAUUCAUCCCGUCAUUUCUUCUAAAUCAAACUCUCAUUCGAU
rnacentral:lncRNA from 1 species